AUUGAACGCUGGCGGCAGGCCUAACACAUGCAAGUCGAACGAGUGGCGGACGGGUGAGUAAUGUCUGGGAAACUGCCCGAUGGAGGGGGAUAACUACUGGAAACGGUAGCUAAUACCGCAUACCAUCGGAUGUGCCCAGAUGGGAUUAGCUUGUAGGUGAGGUAACGGCUCACCUAGGCGACGAUCCCUAGCUGGUCUGAGAGGAUGACCAGCCACACUGUAACUGUGACACGGUCCAGACGCCUGCGGUAGGCAGCAGGGGGGAAUAUUGCACAAGGGGCGCAAGCCUGAUGCAGCCAUGCCGCGUGGAUGAAGAAGGCCUGCGGGUUUUAAAGUACUUUCAGCGGGGAGGCUUUACCCGCAGAAGAAGCACCGGCUAACUCCGUGCCAGCAGCCGCGGUAAUAC
rnacentral:rRNA from 1 species